GACGGGGGCCCGCACAAGCAGCGGAGCAUGUGGUUUAAUUCGAAGCAACGCGAAGAACCUUACCAGGUCUUGACAUCCAUCUAAAGCAGAAGAGAUUCUGUGUGAGCUUGCUCGAGAUGAGACAGGUGGUGCAUGGUUGUCGUCAGCUCGUGUCGUGAGAUGUUGGGUUAAGUCCCGCAACGAGCGCAACCCUUAUCGUCCGUUACUAACAGGCAAAGCUGAGGACUCAGACGAGACCGCCGGGGACAACUCGGAGGAAGGUGGGGACGACGUCAAAUCAUCAUGCCCCUUACGACCUGGGCUACACACGUGCUACAAUGGGUACAACAAAGAGAGGCGAAGCCGCAAGGCGGAGCAAAACUCAGAAAAGUAUUCUCAGUUCGGAUUGUGGGCUGCAACCCGCCCACAUGAAGUUGGAGUUGCUAGUAAUCGCGGAUCAGCAUGCCGCGGUGAAUACGUUCCCGGGCCUUGUACACACCGCCCGUCACACCAUGGGAGUUGAGAGCGCCCGAAGCCAGUGAGCUAACCGCAAGGAGGCAGCUGUCGAAGGUGAGAUCAAUGACUGGGGUGAAGUCGUAACAAGGUAGCCGUUCGGAA
rnacentral:rRNA from 1 species